UACAGAGGUCCCGAGCGUUGUUCGGAUUUACUGGGCGUAAAGGGAGCGUAGGCGGUUCGGUAUGUCGAAUGUGAAAGCCCACAACUCAACUGUGGAAAUGCAUUCGAAACUGCCGGGCUAGAGUACUGGAGAGGAGAGCGGAAUUCUUGGUGUAGCGGUGAAAUGCGUAGAUAUCAAGAGGAACACCGGUGGCGAAGGCGGCUCUCUGGACAGAUACUGACGCUGAGGCACGAAAGCGUGGGGAGCAAACAGGAUUAGAUACCCG
rnacentral:rRNA from 1 species